GCCUCGCUGUUGCCUCGGAUCGGCGCGGAACGCGGAUAAUCGGCCGCCGCCGACGAGAAUUGUCAACGGGGGCGGCGAGCACCCGAUGGAUCGAUCGACACCGCGACGGGAGACAGACAGAGAGGGAGAGACAAAGAAAGAGGGAGAGAGAUUCCGACGAGCUCGGUAGAGGAACAACCUGAGACAAUUCCCCCUGGAAUAUUCUCGAAAUGUCGCAGAAACAUAUUUAUAAAGAAUUAAACUGGAAGCCAGGUCAAGUGUUUUACCACACCAUUGAAAUCUAACAUAUCAAACCGUUCUGCACACUAAUAUAUGCUAUUAUAUAUAGUAUAAUAAUUCCGCAACAAUUAGAUGCAAGGAAUAUCAGGCAUAUUGUGUCAAAUUAAACAAAUUCCUCGAGGUACGUUACAUCAAUUAGAAAAUGUAUUUCAUUGUGCUGUGGUUACAAUUAUCAAUAGCUACUACUAUAAUCCGAUUUAAGAGAAUUAAGAUAAUUACGUAACCUAGCAUAAUAGCGAACUCGACAUGAGAAAGGCUGCUAAGUGCCAAAUAUGGUUCGAGGUAUCGCUUUGCACUAAAUAACAUUUAAAUUUAUAUAAAAUAAAUAACAAAAAUUAAUAUAAAUUAUGCACAUUAAAAGUAAAUUUUUGCUGUGCUAUCGUUUUUAGUACACAGUCUCUUUCGAAGAAACAAGUAAUUCUGCGAAGUAAUUUUCAAGAGAAAAGAAAGAUAAUUUUACAGCAGCAGCUUUUCUACAUGCCGAAUUUUCGAUAGGAUACAUGUGAGAAAUUGUAUAUUAUAAUAUUAUACCAUCUUUCUGGAAAAGUUUUUGAGACUCUAGAAUAGUUCCAAAUUAAAUGUAAGUCAGAGGAAAAAAAACGUUAUGUAGUUAUGGUGCAUUGAUAAACAACUAAGAAACUAUUUCUUCUACAGCGUUUCCGGCAUUACAUAGACGGUAUCCAGUCCCUUAAUACUCUAAGUUUUAUGAAAAUUUAUAUAUAUAUAUAUAUAUAUAUAUAUAUAUAUAUAUAUAUGUGAUAA